AAUUAAAUUAUACUAACAAAGUAUAAGUGUGACAGGUUAAAGGACAUAUUCAUAGCCUGUUAUACAUUGAAAAGUAUUAGUAAGUUCAUAGUAUGUGAGGAUCUUAAAACAUCUAAGGUUAAAAAGAUGCAUUCAGUAUUAGUUGAUAGUGAUUGAUAACAUUCAUAUAAUUGUGUUAAAGUUCAAAUCUGUCAAAGGGUACGAAUUGUGAGAGUAAUGUGUAAACGUUAUAUUGAUUACUUUAUUUUGUGGUGCCUAAAAGUGUUAAUCUGUGAUCUACGAAAUGCUCUUAAGCUAUGAGCCGGAGAUCGAUUGCUCUGGUCUCCACGCAUAUUCCUGGGGAAAUUCGCGGUCUUUUCUCAUUGAACUAAAUGUUGAUUUGAGAAUACAACACCGUAUCACUCUCGUGAUUAUUUCUCCCCUGUUUUCAGGGGCGUAACAUAAUCACCAUGGGACCACGCAUCCAUCAUGCCGCUCAGGGGGGAGACGCGUUCUGUCUCCUAGAGAUGAACGUACUUUGGUGCGAAAAGUGCAAAUCAAUCCCAGAACAACAGCAAAGGACCUUGUGAAGAUGCUGGAGGAAACCGGUACAAAAAUAUGCACAGUAAAACGAGUCCUAUAUUGACGUAACCUGAAAGGCCGCUCAGCAAGGAAGAAGACACUGCUCCAAAACUGCCAUAAAAGAUCCAGACUACAGUUUGCAACUGCACAUGGGGACAAAGAUCAUACCUUUUGGAGAAAUGUCCUCUGGUCUGAUGAAACAAAAAUAGAACUGUUUGGCCAUCAUGACCAUCGUUAUGUUUGGAGGAAAAAGGCUUGCAAGCCAAAGAACACCAUCCCAACCGUGAAGCACGGGGGUGGCAGCAUCAUGUUGUGGGGGUGCUUUGCUGCAGGAGGGACUGGUGCACAUCACAAAAUAGAUGGCAUCAAGAGGUAGGAAAAUUAUGUGGAUAUAUUCAAACAGCAUCUCAAGACAUCAGUCAGGAAGUUAAAGCUUGGUCGCAAAUUAGUCUUCCAAAUGGACAAUGACCCCAAGCAUACUUACAAAGUUGUGGCAAAAUGGCUUCAGGACAACAAAGUCAAGGUAUUGGAGUGGCCAUCACAAAGCCCUGACAUCAACCCCAUAGACAAUUUGUGGACAGAACUGAAAACGCGUGUGCGAGCAAAGAGGCCUCCAAACCUGACUCAGUUACACCAGCUCUGUCAGGAGGAAUGGGCCAAAAUUCACCCAACUUAUUGUGGGAAGCUUGUGGAAGGCUACCCGACACGUUUGACCCAACAAUUUAAAGGCAAUGCUACCAAAUACUAAUUGAGUGUACAGUAUGUAAACUUCUGACCCACUGGGAAUGUGAUGAAAUAAAUCAUUCUCUCUACUAUUAUUCUGACAUUUCACAUUCUUAAAAUAAAGUGGUGAUCCUAA